rnacentral:rRNA from 1 species
GACGAACGCUGGCGGCGUGCCUAAUACAUGCAAGUCGAGCGGACUUUGCCUUCGGGUAAAGUUAGCGGCGGACGGGUGAGUAACACGUAGGUAACCUGCCUGUAAGAUUGGGAUAACUAUCGGAAACGAUAGCUAAGACCGAAUAACUGGGUUAAGCGCAUGCUUGAUUCAUAAAAAGCGGAGCAAUCUGCUGCUUACAGAUGGACCUGCGGCGCAUUAGCUAGUUGGUAGGGUAACGGCCUAACAAGGCGACGAUGCGUAGCCGACCUGGGGGGGUGAACGGCCACACUGGGACUGAGACACGGCCCAGACUCCUACGAGAGGCAGCAGUAGGGAAUCUUCCGCAAUGGACGAAAGUCUGACGGAGCAACGCCGCGUGAGUGAUGAAGGUUCUCGGAUCGUAAAGCUCUGUUGCCAAGGAAGAACGACCUUAAGAGUAACUGCUUAAGGAGUGACGGUACUUGAGAAGAAAGCCCCGGCUAACUACGUGCCAGCAGCCGCGGUAACAC